CAUUGUUCCAGCUGGUCUUAGGGGCACGCCUGCGCACUGUGCAGCCAGGGAAGAGUGUGGGUGAGACCCUCUGCACAACCCUUUUUCAUUGUCUGGGCUUAGCGCCUGCGCAGUAAGAAAUCGUUGGGACAGGGCUUGAGAGGAUAGGGCCUGGCUCCUCGCCCUUUCCCGAGGCGCCUGCGCAUUAAGCGCCCGCUCUUGCCGUUACCGCUAUGUGUGGGGCGUGUGUAGAAUAACGUUAUUGCCCUGCGGAGCUGAGGGGCCUGGAGCUCGGCCGCGGCAGCAGCGACGACGACGACUACAGCGGCGACGACGACGACGGGGUGGGGGGAGGACGGCGUGCUAGCGACUCACGGGACGCAACGCGCCCCGCCUCCCCCGUCCGGUCCCUCUCUCAACGGUGAGGGGUAAGUGAUGCGUCGGGCUACUGGGUGUCGGCACCGCCAAAGCCACUACAGCGGCUUUUCCUCCUCCUCCUCGGAUACUUGACAGGGACUCUGGGCGCGGCCCGCGGCUGAGCCUGAUGCGGGGCCGCCUGCCAAGGGGGUGCUUCCCGGAUGCUCGGUGCAGCACCACCGCCCCUGACCCGGGGCUCCCAUCCCCCAUCCAGUCGCUGCCCCCGGCCUCCAGUUCUGAGGCCCCUGGCCUUCUCUGGCCCAUCGCCACCGUGUCCACUUCCCCUGAGUGUAUUGAAUCAUUUUCAGGUCCCUCCCUUCUUUGUGCAGCCCUCCCCUCCGCCGUAGCAGUUUGCGAAGGAUGGGGGGUGGGGGGGGAAGCUUUGUAGGCAAUGGCUGCGUUGCUGCUGGAGAAGGGAUUUUUUCCUGUGUGCCCAUCCCUUUUGUAUGUUUGGUUUCGGGGUGUGAGGUGGCUAGGGGAGGUCACACGCGGAGCCUUUUGGACGUGUCGGGAGGGCGUGGAAGACGUGGUGUCACGCACCCAGCCAGGCGACUUGCACCCCGCGUAGGCUGAGGCUCUGUAGUAAACCCGGGGAAGGAGAGGGUAGCUUCCUGUGGGCUUCAUUGUCCUCAGAUUCAAAUGUAGGAUUUUGGUGUGGUUCCCUUACAUUUUCUACAAGGGAGCAGGGAAUAUUAGCAGCUGCCAAACACAGGGCGGGAAGAUGUGGGAUUUAUAUAUCACAUACAGAUUUGUCUUAUAAUCUAUUUUCCUGGUGUUCAUUAGGGUUUUACUUAUUUUCCCCAUCUAAGAAUAUAAAGAUAGAGACUAUACCCGCUGGAGUUCAAGUCUGUCAAGGCGAUCGAUAUAAGAUUACUAGGUAACUAUGAAGACUAGGCUAGGAAUGGCCUGACAAGGAAGCUGUUGUGUAGCCGAGAAGUGAACCAGCAGAAUUUUUUUUUUUUUCCCCAUUGGGUGGGUAUUCUUGUUCCUAAAGGACUAGAUUAGGAUAAUCUUUCCGUUUUAUUAUUUUUUUAACAAU
rnacentral:lncRNA from 1 species